GUUCGUUGUGGUUUAAUAGGGGAGCUGGGACUUAAAAUCCCUUGGGGGCAACCCCGUGCAGGUUCGAGUCCUGUUCCGAGCA
rnacentral:tRNA from 1 species